rnacentral:rRNA from 1 species
GAUUAACGCUAGCGGCAGGCAUAAUACAUGCAAGUUGAACGGCAGCACAGGUAGCAAUACUGGGUGGCGAGUGGCGCACGGGUGCGUAACACGUAUGCAACCUACCCUAUACAGGCGAAUAACCUUUAGAAAUGAUGGCUAAUACGCCGUAGUAUUACAGAUGGGCAUCUAUUUGUAAUUAAAGAUUUAUUGGUAUAGGAUGGGCAUGCGUCCCAUUAGUUAGUUGGUAAGGUAACGGCUUACCAAGACGAGGAUGGGUAGGCGAUCUGAGAGGACUUACCCCCACGCGGGUACUGAGACACGGACCAGGCGCCUACGGGAGGCAGCAGUAAGGAAUAUUGGGCGAUGGCCGCGAGGCUGACCCAGCCAUGCCGCGUGAAGGAAGACGGCCCUAUGGGUUGUAAACUGCUUUUAUACGGGAAUAAUAGAGUGUACGCGUACAUUUAUGCAAGUAUCGUAUGAAUAAGCAUCGGCUAACUACGUG